GUGGGGAAUAUUGGACAAUGGGCGAAAGCCUGAUCCAGCCAUGCCGCGUGUGUGAAGAAGGUCUUCGGAUUGUAAAGCACUUUAAGUUGGGAGGAAGGGUAGUAACCUAAUACGUUGCUACUUUGACGUUACCGACAGAAUAAGCACCGGCUAACUUCGUGCCAGCAGCCGCGGUAAUACGAAGGGUGCAAGCGUUAAUCGGAAUUACUGGGCGUAAAGCGCGCGUAGGUGGUUCAGUAAGUUGGAAGUGAAAUCCCCGGGCUGAACCUGGGAACUGCUUUCAAAACUGCUUAGCUAGAGUACGGUAGAGGAUGGUGGAAUUUCCUGUGUAGCGGUGAAAUGCGUAGAUAUAGGAAGGAACACCAGUGGCGAAGGCGACCACCUGGACUGAUACUGACACUGAGGUGCGAACGCGUGGGGAGCAAACAGGAUUAGAUACCCCGGUAGUCC
rnacentral:rRNA from 1 species